GACAGAGGGUGCAAACGUUGUUCGGAAUUACUGGGCGUAAAGCGUGCGCAGGCGGUUUUGUAAGUCAGAUGUGAAUCCCCGGGCUUAACCUGGGAACUGCGUUUGAAACUACAAGGCUAGAGUGUGGCAGAGGGGGGUGGAAUUCCACGUGUAGCAGUGAAAUGCGUAGAGAUGUGGAGGAACACCGAUGGCGAAGGCAGCCCCCUGGGUUAACACUGACGCUCAGGCACGAAAGCGUGGGGAGCAAACAGG
rnacentral:rRNA from 1 species